AGAAAUACGGCCGCGCGCGCCUUUCGACCACCAUCCUUCUCCUCCACUGUCUUGGCGAUUAUUCUUACCAUUCGUGGAAAAUAUUCUUCUUCUCCCUCCUCUUCUUCCUCCUCCUUCUCUUCCUUUUUCUUUUUCUUAUUCGCUUUCAAAGAAGAAGUGUUUUCGAUGAACUACUCGGUCGGUAAAGUUUAAAGAGGAUGGGAUUACGUAGGCGGAUACUACGUAGUGGGAGGGGGGGGGACACUUUGGAGGGUAUUCGGACAGGGAUGCUAGUCGGGACGUUGUUUCGCUAUUUGAUUCAUAUUUUCGUUUCGCGUUUCUUUAUCCGACGUAUAAACGACAGAUCCUGAAAUAGGGGCGGAAUAUAAAUCACGAAUGACGCGAAUACUUAAUAGACCGUGUUCCGAAUUUAUACGCAAACAGCUUAAACCGUCCGAUUUACAUCGUCGCGUAGAUUUGUACCACGGUAUAUGCAAACUCCGCGCUCUCUCGCCCACGGUAUUAUUUUGGGAUUUGACUAAUCCCGUGAGAGGGCAUGGACCAGCGCGUGUGAUGAUCAGCGUCUCGUUUUUCGCCCCACGUUCGAUUCACCGCCACGGCCAAGUGUCAAGCUCGUCUUCGCUCGAUAAACGAUGCCGUCCCAAAUAAACUUGUGGGCAUUUUCACUUCUGCUCCGAUAAGCAUCCAUGCUUUAAUGGAAAAAAAUGUUGGAAGAAUCUUCCUCUCCUUUGAUUAGAUACAGGUGUUUCAGGAUUGCCAGCUAUUAUCUUCUCGGUUUGACUCAUCGCUACCUGAGAUAACGCCGAUCAUAGGUCACAGAUAACAUGGAUGCUCGCACCAUAGAAGCAAUUCUAGGAAUUAAUGGGGAUAACUGGCCGACAGUUAGCGAAAUGCUAUUGUAACAAGUCACUGCGAGGCGCACAUCUGUAUCACCGUUUCAUUGGACCUUUGAUGAAGUUAACUACGAUAGCUGUAAUACGGUAAUCUUAAGGGCAUUACGUCCCUUCUUCUUU